rnacentral:rRNA from 1 species
GAUGAACGCUGGCGGCGUGCUUAACACAUGCAAGUCGAACGGGGAACAAAUUAUUGAAGCUUCGGCAGAUCUAGCUUGUUCCUAGUGGCGGACGGGUGAGUAACGCGUGGGUAACCUGCCUCACACUGGGGGAUAACAGUCAGAAAUGGCUGCUAAUACCGCAUAAGCGCAUAGUACCGCAUGGUACAGUGUGAAAAACUCCGGUGGUGUGAGAUGGACCCGCGUUGGAUUAGCUAGUUGGCAGGGCAGCGGCCUACCAAGGCGACGAUCCAUAGCCGGCCUGAGAGGGUGAACGGCCACAUUGGGACUGAGACACGGCCCAGACUCCUACGGGAGGCAGCAGUGGGGAAUAUUGCACAAUGGGGGAAACCCUGAUGCAGCGACGCCGCGUGAAGGAAGAAGUAUCUCGGUAUGUAAACUUCUAUCAGC